rnacentral:rRNA from 1 species
AUGAGACAUUUCGGUGUUCCUAAUCGUAUCAUUACAAACAAUGGCUCACAAUUCACGAGCAACCUCUUCAGGACAUACUGUGCUAACCUUGGAACGCAGAUAUGCUACGUUUCAGUGGUGCACCCACGGAGCAACGGCCAGGCCGAGAGCGCCAAUGCGGAGGUCCUGAGGGGCCUCAAGGCAAGGAGGUUCAAGAAGAAGCUUGAGGCUUGCGGCAGGGGUUGGCUCGGUGAGCUUCAGUUUUUGAUGUGGUCCAUCCGCACCACUACGAUUAAGCCCACCGGUAAGACCUCGUUCUUCCUCGUCUACAGGGCCGAGGGGUCCUCCCUCACGAGGCACGUCAUGAUGCCUUGCGGGGCAUAG